rnacentral:rRNA from 1 species
AGGAUGAACGCUGGCGGCGUGCCUAACACAUGCAAGUCGAACGUCCUGUCUCGCAAGAGGCAGGGAGUGGCGGACGGGUGAGUACCACGUGGGUUAUCUACCGUGAGGUGAGGAAUACCGGCGAGAAAUCGCCGACAAGACCGCAUAGCCUCGGUGCAAGCCGAGGAAAGCUUUCUCGAGAGAGGGAGCGCCACACGAGGAGCCUGCGCCCGAUUAGCUAGCUGGUGGAGUAACGGUUCACCAGGGCGACGAUCGGUAGCUGGUCUGAGAGGACGAUCAGCCACACUGGGAUUGAGAACGGCCCAGACUCCUACGGGGGGCAGCAGUGAGGAAUUUUCGUCAAUGGGGGCAACCCUGAACGAGCAACGCCGCGUGCAGGAAGAAGGUUUUCGGAUCGUAAACUGCUUUUCGUCGGGGAAGAGAACGGACGGUACCCGAGGAAUCAGCCCCGGCUAACUACGCGCCAGCAGCCGCGGUAA